GGACUACCGGGGUAUCUAAUCCCGUUCGCUCCCCUAGCUUUCGCCCCCGAGCGUCAGGUACCAGCCAGGACACUGCCUUCGCCUUUGGUGUUCUUCCAGAUAUCUACGCAUUUCACCACUACACCUGGAGUUCCAUGUCCCUCUCUGGUCCUCACAGUCCUGCCGUCUUUGCACACCUCGCCCAGUUAAGCUGGGCACUGUCAGUGCAAACGCGCAGCACCGCCUGCGGGCGCUUUACGCCCAGUAACUCCGGACAACGCUUGUCCCCUACGUAUUACCGCGGCGGCUGGCAC
rnacentral:rRNA from 1 species